GGGUAAAACAGGCCCUGGAAGCAGCCUGUGCCUGACGUGCGGCGUCCCCCCACCACCCCGCCCCGCACAGCCCGUCACAAGGCCCAGCACAGUGCCGUUCUGUCCCAGGGUGCGUCCUCUCAGAGCAGGUGCUGGCACAGCCCCGGUGUUCCUGCACGUGGCAGCCUGGGACCAGCUGCCAAUCACCUCUGCAGCGGCAGGAAAGGCAGAUGUUGUUCAACAUUCCAGAAAUGAAUAGAGAUCCGCAGAGAUAAACUUGCGAAAGCAGCCUGUGCAUUCCAGCGGGCCUGCCUGACUGCGGAAACGGCCGUGUGCACAGCACACAAUGUCUCGCCCAACAGCGGCCACCCCCCACCCGAGGACCCUUCCCUGCCUCCCGCCGGCCACUGGCGUUGGCUCUUCUGUGGGCGGCUUUAAUGCUACAGUAGGACACCUCUGUGUUACUUUGCAUGGCGGGUCACGGAACAGCCCCCCGCCCACACCACACCACCAGCCGCCUAGGCGGUCGGACACGCCUCUGGGCACGCGCCCCAGCAGAGCCAUCCCCACAGUCCCGUGGCCUGUGCCCUGUGCGCCAUUUCAGGACCCGCACUUACAGGGGUCUGAGGCGCUCAAGUGGCAGCUGCCUGACUCACAUCUGAGCACCGGCCACAGUGGAAAUCAGUGCUGGGCAGGACGGCACUCACCGCCUGCCAGACAGACACAGGCAACACGACGCCCCAGAGGGCUCCGCCUUCUGAUGGUACCAGGGUCGGAACUACGGCCAUACACGUGCAGACCUGUGAGAAUGCAGAGACCUGCCAGCCUGGCCGCCGUCCUGCCCUGGACCCAGGCCUGACUGCUGGGUGAGGAACUGGACGUCUGCACCCAGCAGGUACCAGGAGCGCCCGUGCACCUGUGAGGGGACUGGAAGGAGCCAAGCCUCGCCAAACCACAGCCAAGGUCCCAGAGAGAAUAAAGAUAAACUUGAAAGUAGCAAGAGGAGACGAUAACACAUGCGGCCUCCAGUCCAUUCCGAAGCCAGGGACUUCUAGGACACGUGCACGUUCCACCGGUGCUUCCGGAGCCAACAGCGGAGGGAGAGGGAGCACACACCAGACCAUCAGAGGCAGCCCAAGAAGGGCAGCCGUGGGCGCGCGGACUCAGGCCUGGGAACUGCUGGGGCACCUGUGAGAGGUGAGGCUUGGGUGCGCAGGGGGCCCAGCUCCACCCAGGUGCCCCAUACCGGGGGCCACAGCCCAGAACUGUGGUAGGCCCUGCCGGUCCCACAGGCCAUAGCCAGGGUGUGGGUCCCAAGCCCCCACCACGCAUCUCACCGACCAAACCAAGCAGGCGGCGGUCACGGAGGAGGGGGACACACCCCGUGCACCUUGAGGUUCUGGACCCUCGUGCUCAGAGUUCAUGUCUGGGGCCCGCUCAGCUCAGGCCUGGGGCCCCAGAGGAAGAUGGGAAACAGGGGCCACAGAGGGGACCCAGGGGCUGGCCACGCAAGCAGGGCAGCUCAGGCCCAGGCUGGACUUCAACAGUCAGAAGCCCACGUGCGCUGCCCAGCCGCGGCCCUGCCCACUCUCCUCUCACUUUAUGCAAAGAUAAAGGCAGCGUUCCUCAGGUGACUGGUGGGAAGAGGAGAGCCCCCACCGUGUCCCCCCGUGUCACACACAGGCUUUCCCAGCCGCAGCGCCGCAGGCCGCCCACCCCACGGCCCGGCACCUCGGGCUCCUCAGCACCCAGCCUGGCGUCUGCCAAGUGCUGGUACGACGCUUCCCCCAGGGCGGGACUUCCCGUGGCUCCUGCAUCUAUGCUCCCUGGACACCUGGUGGGAUGGAGAUGGCAGUUUGUCCAGGGGCCUGUUAGUUCCCUGGGGCCGAUCCUCGAAGGAGGGCCAGGCAGGCAGGUGGGUCACAGUGUGGGGCGGGGGCCACACCCCCGUGGGUGGCUCCUCUCAGGCUCUGCUCCUUCUUGGGGGAAGAAGUGGCUCAGCCAUCUCUGUUGCCACUGUUUAAAUUUUCACUUUGAUCACCAAUAAAAUUAAGUAUUUUUUGUCUACAGGUUUAUUUGUCUAUUUCCUCUUGUGAAUUGCCAAUUCCUGUCUUUUUUCAUUCAUUUACACAUCUUUGCAACUUUCCUGCCCUGUAAGAGCUUCUCGUGUCAUACAUGUAUGAUGCUAAUAUAUUCACCACAAACGAGGGCAGUAAACCUCUAGGUGCAAGCAUGUUACUUCCUCACUAGCCAACAUUUACGUAGACAUGUGGAUGGGCCCACAGCACCAACGCCACGGAGCGCAGCCCUCAGCAGGCCCAGCCCUGUCUGCCGGCCAGAAGCCCCCCCUCUCUCAGUGCCCCCCAUCCUGGACACCCCUGGGCCCUGCAGUGGUGGCUGACAGCAUUCAGUCCAAGAGCUUUCUGCACAGCUGGAGCAGGUCCACCCCCCUCUGAUCCACUGGGAUCCACUGGAAUCCCGGCCACCACAUCACCCAGCCAG